rnacentral:lncRNA from 1 species
CCAGAAUGUGGAAUGCAGUUGUUGCGCCGCCUUAAUUGGCUUAUCUGCCUCUGUCUCUGCCGAGCAAUCAGGAAGGAACCUCAUCAAGUGCUGUUCAGGGUCAUUGUUGGACUUCAAGCAAUGGUGCUGGAGGAAGCGCACCCCACGGGCCUGGCUCACACCGUCCCUCCGAGGACGCUGCCUUAGGCCCUGCACCACCACCCGCUCAGCCUUCGUGUGUCUCCCCCUGGAAUAAGAGAGCUCGCUGCUCUUCAACUCUGCCUAGAUUCUAUUCUUUAGAGCUUAAGCAAAAAAGAAAAGAACACUUCC